UUUUUAUGGAUUUUUCUUUGUUUGUUUGCGCGUGCUGCAACGUUGUGCCAGAGGGGGUGGGGGACAAAUUCCUCUUUUGCUGAGCCUCCUGCAUAGUCUGGGGACAGACCAGCUAGAAAGCCUUCAGGAUUGUGCCGGUUCUGUUGUGGCUUGAGGAUGGCCCUCGCUGAAACGCUAACUUUAAUUGUGGAGCUCCUCCCUCGUCCCCUGUCGCUGCCGAGGAUGAGGACGAGGAUGAGGACAGACGGGUGCUGGUGCUGGGUCAGUGGGCGACGGCUGCAGCAGCUGGGGCAGAGCUCGGGUCUUGUGCAGCUGCAGCCUCACGUGCUGGGCUGCAAGCUCAGGAGUCAUGCAAGAUGCUUGCUUGAACAGCUGUGGAAAAAAAAAAAUGCAGUCAUGAUUAUAUGGCGGUUAAUAGUGCUUACCCGGAUAUUUUUUUUCUUCUCUCUGCAAAUCCCUCUGAGUCAGAAAUACAUAGCCAGGUAUCUAGUGCAUACCACCCGUAUCUUAAACAUCACCUCCACGAUCUCUCCCUUGGGCAGCAUCUAGCUGCCAAAGCAGACUCCUGCUGAAGGCAUCCCCUGUGAAGAAAUGAAGCAUUUCUCCCAGCAUUUUUGACAGAGCAGCUGUCUGGCGUAACCAGAACUGCAGCUGGAGAGCCCCGGUCCUACUCAUCCUGCUUUUUUUUGCAUGGCGUUUAUAAAUACGCGCUUCUGCUCGUGCCGCUGUGACUCUGUGAGCAGAUAGGCUGCUCGACUGAGAAUCCCUAAAUGCACUGUGCAUCACCAAACGUGCCGAGGAGGCCGUGCCCUGAUGCGCAGCCCUGGGCAGUGAAAAUCCUCCAGCUGCCGCUGGCAGCCCUGCCUUCCUCGCCCUCCUUCCCUGGCAUGCAUUUCCAAGCUUCCUAUAUGUGGAAAACUAUGGAAUAUUCUCCAGUUCCACCCACAGCUGUUGUCAGAGGCCGAGGCAGAGCCCCUGGGAGCUGCGUUCGUGUUACUCAAACGCUUUCAUGCAGCCCGAGGGAGACGCCCGUUAGUGCUCCUCUUGCACACGACUGCUUCCAGGGGUUUGUGCAUCGCCCGUGAUCCCGAUACACAAAGCCCUGCUUUGCCAUUACAGUUGUGUUGGAGAAAUGCAACUUUUAAAUAGGAUUUGAAAGAUUUGCUAGCCACGUUAUGGGUUCAGUCAAGCUGGAAAGUGGAUAUGAUGCAGAGGCAACACAGCUGCAGGUGCCUCGUGAUGCAGCGCUGGUGGCUGAUGGCCCCCUGGCAGCAGAUCGGCUGCCUCUAAGUGGGAAAACCCAGCUCUGAUUUUGAAAGCUACAUGCUGUGGCUGUGUUAAAUAUGGGAGUUUUAUAAGCAAAGCUGAAUGCUUGUUGCACUCGUUCGUAGGCCAGUGUCUGGAGCACUGUAGUUGUGGUCGCCGUUGUACAGCACGCCUGCAGUGCUCAUGCAGGCAUGGUCAUGGGGUUUUCCCACAUAUUGUUGUGUUUUCUAAUAAAAAGCGUGAACGAUGUGGAAGGUGUGAUGCUGAGAAAAGCAAAUGAGCAGACGGCCUUGUACAUGGUACAUUUCAUGUUGUCAUUUUGGUGAAAUAGCCAGCAGAGGAUAAGCAUUGCAAUAGCAAGCGUGCUGGUUCAGAGGCAUCAUGCAUUAAUACAUAUUAUUUUGGUAUUAUUUGGAUUUACACUGAGCUCAUCCCUGUGCUAAUCUGAAUGCUUUGCUCUUAUCCAGGCCGUUCCAGGCUGCCCAUACAGUGAGUAGACAACCAGCCCGUCGUUUCUGUAAUUCGUGUAAUCUAAUUACUGCCUGCCAGAGCAGCGAGUAGCUUCUGCUACAAAUCCAUGAUGUACUGCUGUGAUGCAGAUGCCUGAUCUGGAGUGGAGACCAGCUGAAAAUGUACUGAGGGCUCUUCAGUGCAUCAGGAGGCUGAGGUGCUCCUGGGGCUGUGACCAUGCUUGAAUUCGUCUCUUAGUGUCCGCCUGUGUGCACUUCAGAGCGUGUGACACUUGUCUACAGCAGUUUAAAGACUGAGAAAAAUGAUGGGAAGGAAACAACCACGUCUUCCUCUAGGUCAAGGUAGUUGCUUUGUCCUGUAGGCAAUUAAUUGUAAGAAAAAAGCCUCCCUCCCUGGCAGCCUGGAUGGGCAGACCUCUCCUCCAGGCAAUACACAGAGUUUUGGCUGCUCUAAAUUCAGUCGCUUUUUUUUUUUUUAUGUGUUGUUUUUAAGGGGGGAAAAUAGAGCAUUAUUAUUUGUAAAGGGUUGGAUUCUCACUACAGAACAGCCCAAGUAAAGUAAUCAUACCAUAGGUACUUUGCUUAAAAUAUUUAAUCCAUGUAGUUUGCUGUCAUUGCCCUGCUGACCACUGCUUUUGAGCCAGAAGUGGCCAGGAGUGCCUGGUGGUGCUGUUGGUGGCUCCCCUGAUGUUUAGCCUUUGAUUUGGAGCGGCGAUGAAAACUUGCCUUUGAUGCAAGCCUGACUGGUCCAGCAGCAUAGUGCCAGCGUGAGCAGGAUGUGAAUCUAGAAUUAUUUUUGUUAUGAGCUCAUGUAAAACCAGCCAUUUUGCAGCCCUUCCAAAAAGGAAACAGCACCAAAGCCCACCCUGACUGAUCCCUGCAUGGUCCAUGUCACCAUUCGUUAUUCCCGCCGGGUGCACUGUUUUAGGGGCCAGCACCUGUGAGAAAGUGCUGGUUUCUCAGUAGCUGGAGAGGAAAACAUUACAGGUACUCGCUGGCUGGAAAAGGGAGAUGCAGCAAGCAGCAGCUAGUUGCAAAAUAGCCGCUUUAAAGCAGAAGCUGCUUGGCUCUGCCAGAGCUAAAGGGCCAGCCCCAGAAUGGAAUGCUUAUAAAAAUAAGAUGGUAACCAUGCAGCAGAGGAGAAGGAGUAGAGACCAGGAAGUUUCAAUGUUACAUACAACACGAUACUCUGCUUGGAAAAAUAUUGUCACAAUUAUAGAGAUACGGGCAUGGGUCCAUAGUUAAAAGGCAUAACCAAGUACCUAUCAUUAGGGUGAUUUUAAUCUCUCAUUUCCAAUUUCAUCUGUGGAAGAAACUCCUUUUGGCUUGAAAAUUCUCAUGUGAAAUGUUGAGCCAAAGGAGAUGUGUCUCGUUUGGGGAAAAGUUUGAAGUAAUUGGUUAAGGCUGUUUUUGAAUUAUAGAGGAGGAGAAAUUUGUCUUAUACCAUUUCAAAACAUAACAGUAUAUUGAGUUAUUUAAAAAUUUACAGGAUGAUGGAUUUAUUUUAGUUUAACCAUGUUGAUAUUUAUCUGAUGGUUUGUUUUCUUUUUUAACAAAAUGGAAGAAAAUAUUCCUUUCAUGGAACCUGAUUGGGAAAUAAAAACAAGACAGCAACCUAUGAAAGCAUACAUGCUGCAGAUCCUAAGUCAUCUUGAGUAACCGUGGCAUAUCUUCAUUUUCUAUACUUCAGAAAUCUUGCAGUCUAUACAAAUAAGGUUUUUCUCCUUUUUAUAAUAGUGGAACCUGAUCUCUGUCCUUGCGGUUUAAAAGACAGGCUAUUCCUUGAGCUCUAAUUAUAUCCAGAGGGCCAACUUUCUGUUGGGUAGGGGCUGUAGAUAUGCAAGAACCAGCAUAAACUCUGACUUCAGCAUCCUUCUGUAGUCUCAGAGAUGCCACGGUAGGCCAACGUGGGGCACUGGGGAAGGGACAAAUCCAUUCAGAGAACGAGUGCUCUGACACUUCUCCUUUUUGUGCUGUCAACUGGAGAGGUGCUAAAUUGCAGCACUCCUCCGGGUUUAAAAAGUAUUUAAGAACACAUAGUCAGCAUGCUAGAGAGAAGUACUAGAAUUCCUGCUAGUCCAGCAUCUUAAAAAUUUGGAUAAAAAUGCUGAAACACUAUUUAAAUCAUCUCUGUUUUGUGUGCUCUGUUUUUUUCCCCCCUUCCCUCUCGUGAAGCAUCAGAAUUACAACACAGACACUGAUAUUUUAUCAUCCUUCAUUAAGGGCUCAACAAAAAAAUAACUUCCUGAGGUGAUGUUCCUCCUUUUGAGCUGUCAGUUUACCUACCUUCUUUUUACUAUUCUUCUAUUUACUAGAAAGACCUCAGCUGACAUGAUUUGCCUCAGCAAGCACUAAACAUAUAUAUACAUAUGUCACCUUUAUGAGGUCUACCAGGGUACUCUGUGGGCACUCCAGGGUGGUGCUUCUGCCAAAGAUGUUGAUGUUUACUUAAGCAAGGCAAAACUCUUCAGGACCAGCAAAAAAAAAAAAAAAAAAAAAAAAAAAAGGUCUAACAAAAAUAGCUUAAGUAAACAAAGAUGUUUCUCAUUUGAGAGAAGGUAGCAUGUGCCUGCGUAAGGACACGAUCCCUACAGAGUCUGGCCCACCACAGUUUAUAAAUAAAUAAAUCCAGAGUGGAAAAUUAAAAAGAAUUGGAGAAGUGCAAAGGCACAGACUGGUCGCUCCCCAUGGCAGCGCUGAUAACACACUUUGUCCUCAAGGAUGCAAGAACCGCACUGUCUUCAUUUGAGCUCUCGCUGCUGGGGUAGUGCUGUUCUCCAGCAGCAGGCACUUGUUUAUUUGUAUUUAUUUUUCAAUCUGCUGCCCUUUGCUUCUCUCAGCAAAAGCAAUGGGGUCAGUCCCUAUGAAUGGGUAGUUUAAUAUUUUCUGGUCAUUUUAAUGGGAUGUUGGUGAUGCCGGUUUAUUUUACAGCAGGAACCAAGUCACCAGGAGGAGAGGGCUGCUUGGCGGAUGCCGCUGCGGUCUGGUGGUGCUUCCCCAAUACCACUUUCCUUACUGCAUGCCUUGAAAAACAACAACAAAUUCCUCUUCUACGCAUGUGGCCAAGCGUUUCACUUUUCAACCAAGAUUAGUUUCUGUCUAAGUCAGUUCAUUUGCAGAAGUAAACCUCGGUGAGCCGCGGGCGCUGCCACUGUGCCUGGGGGCAUGCUCCUUGCGGCCUGGCCUCGCUGAAGGCCGCGGCUUCGUUUCCAGCUGGGGCUGAAAGGAAAAACAGUGUUUUGAGGGUGUUGUGGACCCCGUCAGGGUGAGCAAGCUGUGCUGUAAGUCCUUCGAGGAUUAGGGGCACGUGUAACUGCACUGCGUGAGCAUACAGCAGCAUUUUAAGGGUGCCCCCUCCCCAAACCUGGAAUCUGUGCCUGGAUUGACCUGACGGGUGGCUCAGCCUGGUUUGUGGAUGGAGCUGAAGGCAUCUGACCUUUGCUAUCUUGCAGCUUUAUUGUCCUCUGCUCCACCUCAGGUAUUGCCUGCAUUUCCAGGAAAUGCACAAAACGUGCAGGACAGAGUUCAUCUUUAAGAGGCAUCCUGUGAAGUUUCUUUCCUUAGGAAGGGAUUUGUUUCUUGUUAGGAAGAUGGUAGCUCUCUCUCUACUUUCUGUAGUCUGUAAAAGUAGAAGGAAGAUGUGUUUACAACCGUAGCCUAACUGCGUAGCUGGUUUUGUAUUGCUUGAAGACAAGUUACUUCCCUUGACCUCGAUGAGAGUUUCAGUGAAGUUACAGCAAAGGAAUAUAGCUUAAAAUAUAGGGUAGGGAUGAUGUCUGCCCCCCUUUUAAGUCUGUGAUAACUGAUAAGUAUGAGCAACUUCAUGAGAAGUAUUUCAGAAGGAGCUUAAACAGUGGAGGAGACUGGUACUUAAGUUUCAGUAGAUUACUAUCACUUGUCUAGGCAGAAAAUUUAAUUCAUUUCUGCAUCAAGCUGUAUUUUUGGCUUGUAAGGCUGGAUGCCUUUAUAUAUACCAUCCUUUAUUUAAAGACCUAAGAUGUAACAUCACUACUUUGAAAUGCAGACAGCAACAUUAUGUUAUUUAAAAUAGUAACAGAAAAAUGUAAUAUCUGUGAUACUAUCAGCAUGCUAGAUAUCAAACCACCUGAAGCUUCUUGGGAGGUUUUCUUACAACCCUACUAGCUCAGACCCUGUGUGGAUCAACUUUUGCACAUUUUUCAAGCCAGUAAGUCUGCAAACAAGGAUUUAGAGACUGCUAAGUAGUAAAAUUGCAAAGGAUAGACACUGGAGUUGGAGGAAAGGGACUCUGAUAUUUAGUUUCUUUUUCUUGGCAUUAUUUAGACUCCCAAAUGACAACUUUCUAGUUUUCUAGCACAAAAGAGGCCUCACGCUGUUCAGGAUCUGCUGUAAAGUCCUAGUACAGAUCAUUCUGUUUCCCAAACAAUUUAUCUCGUUCAAUGGUAUUUUUAUUUCACGGCUACAGUUUAUACACCCCAGUUAAUAGAUGGUAUUUUUGGAAACCUCCCAUUUAUCUAACAAUAAAAGCCAGGAUGGAAUAUCAGCUUCCAUUUAGAUUUUCCUGAAUUAUCUCCUGUUAAAUCAAUAACAUUUAAAAAAAAAAAAAAAAAUCUCUUCCUUUGCUUUUAAGGAAGAAAGAAAAAAAAAAAAGAAAAAGGAAAUUAAAAUGCUUUUUAAAACAAACACUGAGGGUAAAAAAGAGCAUUGAUUUCAAAUAAUUCAAAUAGUCUAGGUGCUCUUUGUUGCAACAUUUACAUCAUUAUGAAAUAUUUUUUUAAUCACAAGGAUGUAACUGAUUUACAGCAUAUACUGUGAAUGCUAGAAGUAAAUGUGGACUUGCCAUCGUAACUUCUAGUUAGUGCACAUCAGUGUCACAUCUUAAACCCUAGCCGUUGGGAGAGAGACCGGGAUGUUGGGGAGAGAGAAUCAAAUCAAAAAACUUUUUGACAAAUUGACUUCCAGAAAAUAAAAAACGUGCCACCUCUUUUUCUGAUUAGACCCAACUACCUGAAAGGAGCUCUGUGCACAUAGUGAGUCGCAGUAGCACUUUCAUUUCUGUCACAGAGGUCUAAAUAAAUGAAUUGGCCAUCUGCAAUUAAUUCGCAUUGUACAAAUAGUUUGAAGACUGAGUAGUCUGUCUUCUGAACAGAGCAAUCUAUUUUUAGCUUUUCAAGCAAGCCUGUUUUGUGUUCUUUGUAGAGUCAGCGACAUUCUUUCAAUUUUUCAGCUUAAUUAACACAAAAGAAAUUGUAAUCUGAGAAGGCAGCAGAAACAAGAACCCCCUGAAAACCAUGAAUUUGCAAGAGAGCAGAUGAUGGCAGCUUUGCAAAAGAUAGACAACUGGCAAAAAAGGAAGAAAAAGUUCAGAGCAGUUUGUGGGAUUUGGGCUGGAUAUUGUAAGGGCUAAUUUUAUACAUACAGCUUGUUGAUUUACAGUGAGUGCUCACGGGUCCUGUAACUAAUGGGGAAUUCUUUAAUCUGAAAAUGAUAAGGGCCACAGAAAGAACGUUUUCACAGCUUUCUGAAAGAGAUGAUAGUUACAACAGAAGAUUACUGGUGAAUAAAGCAGUUUUCUGUAGAAUUACGUACAGAUGUCUAGCCUGGGUAUGAAUGUUGGUGCCAGGAUGAUUGAAGGAACACUGAAUCCCCUCUAGCUUGACUCUGUGCUUGCAGUUGUGGGUAAAUCCUUAUUUCAAGCUUAUGUAAUAUCAUACAUACACACACACACACACAAAUUUCUUAGAAUCACACCCUGGCAAAUGCAAAAAUAUACUUGCAUAACGAGUUGUAUUACAGACAAUAUUAGUUAGAAGAUUUGUAGUGAUCAUUUAAGGAAAGGAAGGCAUAGGUUAUUGUGCAGAGGGAUUCUAGUUAACAUGGUAGUUCUAGAUACAAAAAAAAAAAAGGAAAGGAAGUAAAAAGCUGAAUAAACAACAGAAUACCAAUCGCAAUCAGUAAAUAUUAAGAAAUAGUACUUUGAAAUAACAAGAAUAUAAAUAACAAGAAAAUUAAUGUGCCUGCUGGCAGGUGCUUUUCUGUUUAGAUGUAUUAAAUAUACAGCAUUAGCAUUGCUGUACAUUAAUAUGUAUAGCUUGUAAGCUUCCCAAUUAAGUAUCUUUCCAAGUAUCCGUUUGUGGGUGCUUGUUUAAAAUAUGCAAACAGAAAGAGGAGCAGUUAUAAACCUCCCCUCUUUGAAUCUAUGCAAAGAGCUCAGAAGCCUGAAGUCUGACUCCAAAAAGCAUGCCAGGGAGUAAGGCAGCCCCGUCCAGCUGAUUGCCACUGCAGCCCAGAACGUGGGAACACAGACGUGUUCCUGCACCAGCUGCUGCUCCCAUAGCUUUGUGUUCCUGAACAAUCUUUUAAAGAUAAAAUGUAGAUUCUGAGUUGUAUAAUUCAGAUUUAGAGGUGUUUAGUUGCAUAAAAAUACAGAGGAGUUCCUAAUGGGAUUCUUUUGCAGAUACUGUGGUAGGUAUGAAAAAUAAAUAGAUCCACCACACAGAUCCACCUGGAAGCCCUUUCAGAGGUCUGCCUGAAUCUUUAGAUACCAAGAUACCGUUUGAAAUCUGGUCUUUAGGUACUUUUGAUUUUUUUUCAGCAGCUGAGUAUCAACUUAUUUUGGUUCCUCCCCAAUAUUUGUUUAUGAAGAAGUCCUGUCCCUCAUUACAGAAAAAAUGUGCACAAAAAAGGCUUUAAGAAGCUGAAUUUAGCUUUCAGAAUUGUUUCAAAUAUAUCAAAUUGAAGUAGAAUCGAUGUCUGACUUUUGAUUAAAAUAUGAUUUUCCAGUUUGUUUCAUAAAUGUUCUCCUGCAGAGUGCCAUUGACUUGUCCAGCUCUAACCAGUUUUGUAAUACAAGAGCCUCACCUCUUAAAAUAAGUACUGGGGGACUUUCACCGAGGAGGGCUUGCAAGGGUGUGUACUCUUUUUUUCCUCACUGUAGAAACAGGCUCUGUUUUCUAUCUGUAAAUGAAAACUGCAGCUGAGCAGCUGGGGGGAAGGGGAACAUCGCUGUUCUUAGUAAGAAACAAUAAGGAAUUUAUAAAGCUGUUGCAAAGCUUACAUGAAGGAUUAAGAAGGUGUGUAACUGGUAUGUGGAGUCAACAGACAAGUGAUGCUGAUAGUAGAAGGAGUUCUGAGCUGUGGUGGGAAGGUUAGUUUGCUCAUCUAGAAACUCUGGAGACCUGAGUAAGGUAGCACAUAAGUUUCCUUAAAAACACUCAUUUCAGAUUCAAAGUCUUCACAAUGCCAGAUUUGAUAUGCACCUCUGAGUCUAACUAGAGGUAGUGUAAAAGCUGCUGAUCAACACAGAAAGUUGGUGAUUAUAUACUAUAAAAAAUCAGUUUGCAUACUUUUACAUGAAUUUGCAUUGUGAAUUUGCCCCACCACACACAGUGCUAAAGGAAGUAGAAGAAAAUGAGUGUUAGUGAGAUCCUUUUCAGAAUCUAAAAGCAGGCAGAAGAAAGUAACAGACACAACUAAUCAAUGAAAUGGGAUUUAAUUAUUAUUUGAGUUUUACUUACAGAAGUUUUCCAUUCUGGGGAAUAUGCAGACGUGCCUUUUAUGUCUGAGGGCUAAAUAUACUCAUAAUGCUAAUUUGUUAAUGUGUUCAUUGUUUUGAUUUUUAUAAAGAUUUGUGGGCAUUCAUUAAACAAUUUCAUUGCAUUGAAAUCGGCAAGAUAGAUUUCUGUGAUCUUCUCUGUACUCUUAAAGUUUGAUUUUUGGAUCUUUAUUUAAAGAAAAAUAAAUUUCGUUCUGAAAGUAUAGUUAAAUACAGCAAGAAAACAGGAAAUAUGUCCUAAAGUAUGGGAUUUUUUAAGCCUUGUAAGAAAGCUUAUUUAAGGAUUCUUCUGCAAGGAAGCAAAUUCUGAAAUACCUAUUUAGUGGAACAGUUGUAACAUUGGUAAGGUGGUCAAUCAUACCGUUGGCUUUUAUACUCAGCCAGUUUACUUGCCAGUAUGAACGAAGACUUAAAGACUUAUUUUUUAUUAGAAUUUAUUUUAAUGUGUGUUUCAGACAAAAAACAAUGUGAACCUCUUAGUUCAUCUACAGUAUGCUAAAUAUUAAUUUUUUCUGAAAGUAAUCAAGCAAAACUGUUACUUCUAAACAAAUGUUAUCUUGUUGUGGCAUCACAUGGAAAUACAAAGCCAGUCUUGAUGUAGUGUGUGCACAAUGGAUCAGAUACCUUCAGGAUAUCUCGCAUAUAAUGCACACAUUUUGCAUAGAUAGCCUUCCACCUCACCAUUGGUAUUUGUACUUAGCUGUCCACAUCCACAGUGGCCCUGUGGUCAUAUCGCAGGUGAAAAACCCACAAAUGUAUGGUAGCUCGUCCAGUUGAUGUUCCUCACUGUACUGAGAGGAUACGACUUGCUUGUCAUCAUCACCAAGAGCCCCCUGAGAGCCCCAAGCAGUACUCCAGCAGCGAGCAGCUGCAGUGCUUCACUGUUUGAUCUGUAGACAGUGCUAACUCCAUGGUUUAUUCUUUGUUCCGAGCUUCAGAGUGCGUGAUAGGAGCUUCUAAUUGCAAUUUAAAGCUGUCUUCAUUGCUUUGAUCUGCUUUGCAAGAAGCCGUGGGAAACGCCCAUGUUGUUCAUGGAAAGGAAUCGCCACAGAAGGGGCACCAAGUCUUGCUGUUCCUCUUCCCCUCCCCACUUUACAGCUGCUUACUGCCAAUGUAAAACAUGAAGAUGCUUUUUCCGUGACAGAUGAGGAGUGAGAACCGUGUCAAGGAAAAGCCGCGGGUCUGGCUAAGCAUAGCACAAAUCCCUAGAUCAGGACUUGGAACUCAGCCUCCUGAUCUCUUAUUGAGGACUUUCUAGUCUAAUAAUCACGUUUUUAAGUGGCCUGACCUUUUAAAGGGGGGAUAUAAUUGCAAUUUGCAUUGAUUUUGAUGGAAGUUAGGGCUACCUGACAGUUCUGAAGUACUUUAUAUUAGCUACUAUGUUUGCUUCAUGUGACUCCUUCAUUUCAGCCUGGAGGUUCACAGGAGAUCAAGACAAAAUGUCUAUAAUAUAUGGAAUUCUGGAUAGCUGAUAUGCUAGUUGAAGGUCUAGUCUAUACAUUUAGGCACUUAAUUUGCUAUGCAUGUGUUUCAGCAAGUUAACAUAGUAACUUCUAAAGCUGUGGUAAAUAAUAGACCUUUCUGUUAGAAGAAAUUGAAUUUUUUUUUCUACGAUAUUGCUAUGUUCAUGCAAAGCAAAUGCUGGAAGCAAAUCAGACAGUAGAGGGAGCACAAGUUAACAGUCACUUUUCCCAGUGCCAUGGGAUAGCCGCGUUAAAUGUGUGUCAAACAGCUAACAGAAUGGAAGAAAGAAAGAAAAGGGGCAAACCAUGUUGGUUAGUGGCAUACUGGAUGUGGAUGAAAGGGCUGGAGGUAACAGGUUAAAUGCCUGAGUACUAGAGAAUGAGGCUAAAUAUGGCAUAUUAAUACAGCACAUGGCAAGGAGCCAGAUAUGUUGGUUCAUAGAUCUUAACGUGCUUCUAAUAUUUGGGUUUGAGUAGGAUUAAAAAACAGAAAGGAGUUUUUUUCUGGUUCUGGUAUCGACAGAGAUGGAAUCUCUGAAGAGCAAUUUCAGUGCUGUGGAAUCCAAACCCAAAUUCCAGUCUUAUAUGACCUUAGGAUCCAAGCCACAACCCAACGUCAUUUCUUCUGUCUGUCUGUACCAAAUAUUUGAUAACUACGCUCUACAAAAUCACUUGCGUGCAACUACGAAAUGUAGUUAGGUGAUCGUGGCUCUCUGGAAACAAAACCUAGCUCUUUGACAAUUGAUACUUCCAUCAGGAAUGGUGUGUGACUUUAGCCUCUAACUCUGGUUUAAAAAACAUAGCAUCUCCGAGGUACAAGUUUCUUGUGCUGUGUGUUAGACGUGUUUACAUUAUCAAGUACCAGAGCUAGGACUAGUUGCUAAAAUAUAAGGUUUCUUAGGAAUCAGCUGCAUUAAUGACUUUGUUAUAACUGAGGAUAUAAAUGAAAAUGACAUUUAUAUAACAGACUUUCCAGUAUAAAAGCCAGAGUCUGCUGGCUAUAAACACUCAGAAGGCUUUACCAUGAAAAAUUGUAACAAUCAGGGGUUAGAUGUUACAUUUAGAGAAAAUGUAGGGCAAGACACAUGAAUCUACUGCUUUUUUAUCAUCUUUUUCCAAGUAGAAUGACUUGAGCUAAAGUUAACUUUUUACUACUUAAGAAGAUUAUAUGGUUCAUAGAAAAAUAAUUCAAACUGCUUAAUUUUUAAAGCUUUUUUAAUAAGAAAACUUCAAAGAGGUUCAUUUUAGAGUAGCAUUCAAGCAAUGUAGGUAAGGUAGUUAAAUAUUCCCCCACCAAAAUGUAGUUUGAAAAAUAGACUUUCAUGGCACCUAUACAAGUAUUUCUAUAGAUCCUUAUCUGUAAGAACAGCAACAUAUUUCUUUUUUUUUAAUUAAAGAUCAUUAUAAUUGCUAAUGUAUGAUUGUUUGGGGGCAUAUGUGAGUCAAACUGUGGUUUAGAGAACACACACUUUAAGAACACCUUAACCUUCACUGAAUCCUUCGUCCUGUGCUGUAACCUCUGUGCUGAAUUAAAAUAUAGGCCUAUGUUUAAGAUGCACUACGUCCUUGCCAAGGAGAGGAGCACCUCCAAGAGGAUAAUUGAGAAAGCUGGGAAUCAUUGAAAAUAAAUGAGCAGCUGAAUUUCGUAUGAUGGUGACCAUUUUGCAGAGAAGUUGAUAAGCAGUUUGGGGAAAAAAAAAAAAAAAAAGCAAAAGGGCAGAAAAGGAGUUCAAAUUAUUUAGGGAAGCAGUGCUCUCUCCCAAAGAAGCAAAACGUUCUAGAGAGAGCAGAGGCAGACUCAUGGCUCCAAGGAAAGGUAACGUCAGGCCAAGAGGUGAAUUCAAGCCUGUUUGGUUUAUUAAAUUGUAUUCUUUCCUUGCUUAUAUGUUUUUGUUUGCUUUUUGUUGGUGGUGUUUUUUUUGGAGGGGGGAGUAGUUUGUUUGUUGUUUUUGUUAUUCUAAGACUUAGGUGUUUAUGAUUAAGAGGUUCCUUUGCUAAGACUAUAUUGCUUUCUUUCAUAAACCUUUAAGGAUGCCACUGGAAAACUGGAGUUUCUCACAGGCAGCAUACCCUAGGGUAAUGUACCUAAAGAACUGGCUCCAGAAAAUUGGACCAUAAGUGUUGAUGUGUCCAGAUAUGUGGCUUACACGAUGAAGUGCUCUUCAGCUCGGGUCUUCAAAGCUAGUCAGUAAUGAUUCAUUCACAGCGCAUAUCUGUCCAGACACGAGAACUUGAUGCAAUAAAAAGAUUUCUUACUCAAGUAUUCAGAGACCGUAACAAUUACAUAAUUGUUACUAGGGCAGGAGGUCUCAAGUCAUGGUAGAUUAUUAUUGUCAUGUCUUGCCCCAUCUUCCUGUCUGCAUACAGACCAGUUUGGUAUGCUGGGAUCCAGCCAGUGAAUCUGUGUACUUCUACCACCUCUCACCUGAGUCAUCUGCUCAUACCUGCAGGUUUCUCACUGGUGCUUAUAUAAACAGACCUUGGGUAGGACACUCUUGGGCAGUGAGAUCCUGCAGUCCAUUUACUUAGAUAGUGAAAGCACCACUUCAGCAUUUCACAGUCUUCAUUUCACAAUAUAUUUAUUCCUUAGUUUCAACUUUCUGGUAAUGAGAAUUCCUUUGUUCAUCCCAGGCAAGCCAGGCUGAGACAAGGAAUUUCCUAGUCUUUGUCACUUUACUCUUAAACAGUACUUAGCAUAUACAGAUUUCUGAAAAAAUAGCAUUAUUGCAUGUCUUUACUGCACAGUUUGAUCUUGUAGCUUGUUUUUGUUAGAUGCAGACAGCAUCCCUAUGCUUUCCCUCCACUUGGCUUGUCCGCUGCAGUCUCUUUCAUAGAGACUGAAGCCCAUUCUUUCUAACCAUUUUUUUUUUCCUCCAAGCCAGCUUUUAGGGUGGAGAAUUAAAAAAUAUUGCUAGGCUAAGAGCUGGGAGUUGAUCUGUGCAGGUAGAACAUGGUGGUUCUGUUUCUGCUUUGUGGCCGUAAUCAUUCAACUGAAUACUGAGUCUCUCCAGCAAAACUAAUGCUUUAAUCCACCAUGGAGGGCAUGACAUAAAAUAAAUUUAAACAAACCUUAUAGCCAGGAUGAUGUUCACAACAUAAAACAGAGUUAGUGUUUUGACGGGGAUAUAUUUGCAGUGUGUCAGUGUUUCAGUGUGCCUUUGUCACCUUUGCCUGUGAAUUGUGAAUUUAUGCACUCCCUCACUUGGUUCUUCACUCAAGGAAAGCAAAAGCAGGAAGCUUAAACUCCAUUUUUCUUUCAAAUGAAUAUUAAUGGAAAACAUUAUGAGGUACUUGCUCAGCUCUAUAGUAAUACACAUGUCCAUUCAUGAGAUGGUCCAGAGCAGAGGAUUAGGAAUACAGAAUUUAAGAGUGAAUUUGAAAAGGCAGCACAGGAACUUCAGGCCUCAAACUAUCAUCGGAAAGUUUGGCUUUAUUUCACGCUGUCAGCCUGGAUUCUCCUUACAGCACCACCAUAUUCAUAAUAAAGAAAUAAAUUAAAUCCACCCCUUCCUGUAUGCCUCACAACACUCAGCACUGUGCAUGCUCAGCACAUGUGUAGUUUUGAUAAAGAGACAUUAUCAAGGCUGAAAUCAUUUUAAACAAAACAAAUAAUGUGGCUGCCCAGCACUUCCUCUGGAAGUAGUUCCUUGGACAAAUCUUCCUUAAGGCUCAUAUGUAUGGAGUUAGUAUAUCCCUCAGUAACACCGAUUCACAGAAUGUUUGAGGAUAAAUGUAUGGCUGUGUAUUUUAUAUAUAGGGUGUGAAAUUCAGCCAUGCGGGAGGGCCCUGCCUCCAGCCGGGGCCGCGGGUGCCAGGAGGGCUCGGCCUUGCUCCCCACACCAGGCCGCGGUGGGCCGGCAGGGGGUUAAGGGUGCACCCCCGGUGCCCAUCCCAGGGCUCAGGGUUCCUGGGCAUGUUUUGGCACAGCAGCUGCCGUGGGCUUUGCCAGAGCACUGCAAAUUGUGGGGGCCACCAGUGGUGUAAAGCCAUCAGGUUCCCUGCCCCAUGCAGCGUCCCUAGCGCAAAUCCCAUCUCCUUGGCUGCUUUGAGGGCAGGGUGAAGUUCCCUCUAAGUGCUACAAAAUGUCACAGUGAUCCCACUGAAUGAAGCUGGGGGUGUCCACGUGCAGCUCUGUGGUCGCACAGGCCAGGUUCACAGCAGCUGCAUGGCUCGGGGCUGGCACCCUGCAUGUCCCUUCGAGUCAGAACGGGGCUCAGCUGUGCGACGCGCUCGCUGUUUACACAGCGGAGACGAAGCUGUAAAAAAGCCGAUUGCUUCAGAAGCGAAUAGGUCACUCUUAGUCAGACAAGAGAGCAUGCACGGAGCAAUGGAAAAACAAAUUCGUUAUUGUAACACCGAAGAGCAUAAAGCAAACCUGGAGGCGACCUGCGAAAGAGCACACCACUGGGUUUCUGCCCUGUUUGGUACUUUGUGGGGUAUGAAGAAAGACUGAAAACUGUGCAGGCAUUUUAACAAAAAAAAUUCAAAAUAAAAAGUAUCUUUGUGUGAUUCUUUGAAUGUAAAAAGCAUGCUGGUUCUGGCUUUCCCUGACUUCGCUGGAGGGCCUGGGGCAGAAGGACUCAAAAGAAUACUAGCAGCUUUCGUAGCAUUUUCAUUUCAGAAAAGCUGUGUUAUAAGAGAGGCUACGUUUUCAUUUAAUAUUCCUGAGGAUGUCUGAGUUAAAAUAGGUGUUAAUAAAAAGAAGACAGCCUAUUAAAAUUGCUUCCUUUCUGAAUAAUUAUUUUAUGAUGAAAUAUUUAACAGAAGGGCUUAAAGGCCAGAAGUGAGAUCAGGGUCCCUUGGUUCUCGGUUCUGUGCAGACACAUUGGAAGCAAGCAACUUACAACCUAUGUGACAAAGGCAGAUAAAAGAUAGUUGGAAAAAGAGGCACAGAAGGGGGAAGUGGCUUGUCCGAGGUCAUGCAUGGAUUGGUGGCUGUGCUGGAUCGAGUGUCCCAUGUUAGAUCAGGUCUCCUGGAUCCUCUUCCACUGCUUAAUCCCAGAGCUCACCUCUUUCCCAUGGACAGUUUUGUUGGCUUCUGCGAGCUCUCGAGCAGGCCUGUGAGCAGAGUUAAUUCAGACACUGUGUUCAAACAGAAGGGAAGGAAUGCUGAAGACAUACCCUGUGCUGGGUCCAUCAGAGGGCACAAUCCUGCACCUCUGCUGGUUUUAACGUGGCAGAGGCAAAGUCCCUGUGUUGGGCCACAGGUUCUGAGCCAGCCUGGGGCUGGAGCAGGGUCCAGAGCCUGGACUCCUGCCUGGUUCCCACAGCCCUAGCAAGGGACGUACUUGCUCCUGGCUGGUGUCUGAGAUGCAAUGACAAGGGGAAUCUUCCAUUGCACACCUAAAGGCUUUGAGACGAUUGUUUUAUAUAUGUUGCUGAUAUUGAAGGGGGGGGAAAAAAAAAAAAAAGAAAAAAAACACACCAGAAAGACUUACUUAGAGCAUUGGGAAAGGGUCUAAAUUCUGCAACUGCCCUAGGGUAUGUGGGGCACUCUCUAAUUUAACAUCAAGGCACUUAAGAAGUAAUGAUGCUGUUACUUUGCCAGACAGACAGAUUCUUCCAGGAAAAAUAGGGUACAAAAGACCCCUAUUCUAUAAUUCUGUCUGUAUGUAAUUUUAGGAUCUAGGCUUAACAGUUUUCCAUGUAAAGAAAAAAGAUGGGAGAAAAUACUCUUUUUGAAAGGGAACACUUUCAGGCCUUUAGCAGUGCAGAGAAGGAGGAGCAAAAUCACAGUUCUGUUAUUCCUUGCAGAUCAUCUCUAAUAAUGGCUCCUGGUAUUGAGAGUACUGCGGUUUGCUACCACUAAAAUAUAAAAUCAUUUUGAGUGUGAAAACCUGAGCGUCGUUCUAUUAAAAAAAAAAAAAAAGUAAAAGAGAGGAAUGUUUACAGUGCAUUAAAACCUGUGUGACAACUUAACGAAAACUAUUUUAACAAUCCUCUUAUUCCCCUUCCUGUUAUGCUCCAUAAAAUGAGAAAGCAGUGUCAGUAAGCAGCAACACCGGUGCAGUGGGCGAGCGGAGCAGGCUGGGCUCCGGCUGCUCCUGGCUUGUGCUCAGCCCCCCGCGCCCACCCUGUGCGGCUGGGACAAGCGCUCGGUGCCAGGACUGCUUGGCGCAGCGUGCUCACGCUGCUGCGCGUGCUGGGGAGGCGAAGCCAGGAGCCUCCCUGCUCUCUGCUAACCUCCACGGCAGAGGAAAGACUCGGGAGCUUGUUGCUUCCUUGCAGGAGCUAGCUGGAACCUGGUAUUUAGAAAACAUCAGCCCCUGCUACUUCUGUGGGCUUUGUGACCCAAACAUGGCAAGAAUUAAAACAGAAUAAUUCUUUACAAAAGAAGUUUGCAGUCAGGGGUAGGUCUGGCGUGAAUGUUGACAAAUAUUGAAACUAAAUCUCAGAAACGAGAUGUUCCAAAUUUUUUUUUUUUUUGUAAUCAGCAUUCCAUAUGUGUUAUGCAGAGAGCUAGGAUGUGCUUGUACUUUUGUUACAUAAGAGUUGUUUGUGUUUUUUUUUUUUGUUUUUUUUUUCUUUACAAAGUACGGUGCAGAAUGCAUGAGUAGUGAGAAGGAAUAUCAUGAAAAAAAAAACUGUUAGAAAAUAAGAAAAGCUAGUAGGUGAAAAGCUAUUACUCAGUGUUUUAUUUCCAUAAUCCCAUGAGUUCCUUAAAGUCCCUUUUAAUAUUUCUCAGAAAAAGCUUCGAAGUGAGAGGAGGGAGGCAAGUUUUUUUUUCUUUGGUUUAAAGGAAGGUCUCGGUUAAUUCUAUUAGUAGACUCUGGGCUUGUUUUUAUUUAAAAACAAAACAAAAAUCCCUCUCAAGUUUAGAAUUUCUGUAUGGAAACAUUCUUCUUCUUUGCCAGAGAGGGAAGUAUCUCGUUUUCAUUCUGUUUGUUUUGGAGUAUCUGUACUUAAAUGUUUUGUGUUUGUUCUUUAUUGAAUACAUUAGUGGUGCAUUAAUUUCUUCCUGACAAUGCUCGUUUUAUUGCAUUCAGAUAGGCUCGCUCUUUCCCAUAUGACAGACAAACUUGUCGUUCUGCUUGAUGACCCUGGUUUGCCCUCCCUGGGUUUGAUUGAUAACGGCUUAAUUUCCAAUCUUGUUUACCUAUUAAUACUUUUUGAAGUGAUUUUUUUUCUGGUCACUGCAGAAGGAACAAAUGAAAAAAAAAAAAGCCACAUUGAAUUCUUGCUCCAACUCCAAUCUGUUUGCUUUGAUUUUCCUUUUUAGAUUAUUGUUUGGCUUUAAUUUGUUUGUUUCUCCUUUAAAUGGGCUUGGGAUUACUCAAGGGUUCCUUGUUCAGCAGGUCAAAGGGUAAUGUGGAGACUUUGAAACUGUCUCCCUUUUUAUCACCAAGUUUUGUUCUUCCAAGAGUCCAAAGGAUUUUGCAGGCCGAUAGCUCGUGGAGGAUGCCUCCUUCUAAGGAAGGCGUAAGCAGCAGGCCCGAUUCGGUGCAAGGGGCCACGGGGCCACUUCUGGUCUUCAAAGCAGAUUUAAAAAAAAUGGAUCCAAGUCUAAACCAUAUCCUAAAUUAAUCCUCAUACGAGACUAACUAAAAGACAAGUUUGCUGGGGAUUAAACGCACUGAGAUUGAUAGAUCUGACACUCGAGUAGCAGUCACUUCUGUGGCCUACGAUGAAGGCCCACAGCUCUGCAUUUCUAAAGCUAAAAAUAUAAAGAGACUUCAAAGCAGAGAAGUAUCAAUAUACAGCGUGUGCUACUAAAAAAUGUCCUUUAACUGAAAGAGUCCAUCUGUCCCAGAGAUAAUGCCUACUUUUAAAAGAAGGAAGCCUGCUAGAGCUGCCCAGCCACAGCACUGUGAAUAUGUAGGACAGCAAAAAUGCACAAAAAAAAUGCAGCAAACGUGCAGGCUGCUUAAAAAAAUCACAGCUAUUUCUUCUUUCUGCAAAAGACUGUGAGCCUCAAAGGUGCUUUGCACAGGGGGAACUUUUUCAGCACCUUUCUAAUAUAAAUUCAAUGAUUGUUUAUUUUUUCCCAGUACUUUAAAUCCCUUGAAAACCUUAGGAAGAGGACAAAACAAACAAACAAACAAAAAAAAAAUAACCACUCUAAAAUCUUCAUUUCUUACAAAGAUAUGCAAAGAUAAUGAAUUUCAAAUAAAUCACAAAGUGGGGAAGAACAGAUACGUUAAACAAACAAACAAACAACAUCAAAAAGUGUGUAGACAUUAUUCUACAAUAGUGUAUGUUCAGCUGAACUACAGGGUUGCAAAUGCUCAGUGAAAAAUAGAUUAAACUAUCUUCCCCUUGAGACUUCACCUUAACAUGAUUAGCAGCUCUGACCCAAAAUCUUAGGAGGGGAACAGGCUUGUGGGUGUGAGUUCUGGGUGGAGGAGGUAACUCAAAUGCAUGCCAUAGCUGCGCUUUGAGAUUAGUAGUGAAGUGCUGCAAAGUUUGCUGUACACUGACCCCCCUGCUUGAUGGCUUUAAAUUGGAGUGUUUUUCCUUUUUUUUUCUUUUUUUUUUUAAUUAUUAUUAUUACUAUUUAUUUAUUUUUCACACACACCUGGCCCUUCAUAGGUAAAUCCUGAUAUCACGCAGAUUAUGGUCACAAAGUUUGCAGUCUGGGUUUUCACGUGGAAAGAGUUUAAAGUAGCAGAUCAAGUGUUGCUCUGAGAGCCAUUUGUUUCACGUGUUCCCCAGAUUAACUGAGCUCUGUAUCCUCCCAGUAAAAAGGGCUUGCUGAAAAUAAGCUAUACCCUAUAAAUGGAAACAAAGGGAAUUGUAUGGUUAAAUCACCAGUGCUGCUUUUACUUUUUGAGCCAGAAAUGUUGUCUUCUCUGCUGUGGCAGGAACUGCAACACAGGCUAUUCCAGUAGCAGCGAAGGCUGACAGCCUCCUCAAAAGCUGCAUUGCCAUUUGACUCUGGUUGCUAAGGGAUGCUCAAGCGUGAUGUAGUCUCUAUCUUCCCUUCCAAAUGAGCACACUGGUUUGGUCACAACUCCACCCCCGCAGUUCACAGCCAAAAGUUUAUGAGGUCAUGUUAACUGCGGACAGCGUGAUCCCGUAAGGAGCCGCACAACUGUCCUGCGUGAAAAGUAAUUAACUGUUUCUUUCUUCUGUAGGCUGGGGCAUGCAAAGUGCUCGGUACCUUCGACUUCCUAACAAAUGUGAAUUGUUUGCAAUAGGAGAUAAGGGGUUUUGUCAUCCUGGAGGGUUUGGGGGGCUUCUGUGUUGUAAGAUGGACGUCCUGAUCUGCAGCUAACAAUCGCCUGUGAAAACAAAGGGUGACCAGUGAACUCAGAGCUAGCUCUGAUCCACUGGGGCUAACAGUGCUGCUUCAUCAGGGUUGUAAGCUCAAAGUUUUAUCCAUUUAGUUAGGGAAAAAAAAAAAAA